rnacentral:tRNA from 1 species
GGUGGGGUUCCCGAGCGGCCAAAGGGAGCAGACUGUAAAUCUGCCGUCACAGACUUCGAAGGUUCGAAUCCUCCCACACAA